rnacentral:rRNA from 1 species
CCUACGGGAGGCAGCAGUGGGGAAUAUUGCACAAUGGGGGAAACCCUGAUGCAGCGACGCCGCGUGAGCGAAGAAGUAUUUCGGUAUGUAAAGCUCUAUUAGCAGGGAAGAAAAUGACGGUACCUGAGUAAGAAGCUCCGGCUAAAUACGUGCCAGCAGCCGCGGUAAUACGUAUGGAGCAAGCGUUAUCCGGAUUUACUGGGCGUAAAGGGAGCGUAGGCGGCCGGCCAAGUCUGAUGUGAAAUACCAGGGCUUAACCACGGAACUGCAUUGGAAACUGUCAGGCUGGAGUGCCGGAGAGGCAGGCGGAAUUCCUAGUGUAGCGGUGAAAUGCGUAGAUAUUAGGAGGAACACCAGUGGCGAAGGCGGCUUGCUGGACGGUGACUGACGCUGAGGCUCGAAAGCGUGGGGAGCAAACAGGAUUAGAUACCCGGGUAGUC